rnacentral:rRNA from 1 species
GAUCAUGGCUCAGAUUGAACGCUGGCGGCAGGCUUAACACAUGCAAGUCGAGCGGAGCGAGGGUGCUUGCACCUUAGCUUAGCGGCGGACGGGUGAGUAAUGCUUAGGAAUCUGCCUAUUAGUGGGGGACAACAUUCCGAAAGGAAUGCUAAUACCGCAUACGCCCUACGGGGGAAAGCAGGGGAUCUUCGGACCUUGCGCUAAUAGAUGAGCCUAAGUCGGAUUAGCUAGUUGGUGGGGUAAAGGCCUACCAAGGCGACGAUCUGUAGCGGGUCUGAGAGGAUGAUCCGCCACACUGGGACUGAGACACGGCCCAGACUCCUACGGGAGGCAGCAGUGGGGAAUAUUGGACAAUGGGCGCAAGCCUGACCCAGCCAUGCCGCGUGUGUGAAGAAGGCCUUUUGGUUGUAAAGCACUUUAAGCGAGGAGGAGGCUACUUAGAUUAAUACUCUAGGAUAGUGGACGUUACUCGCAGAAUAAGCACCGGCUAACUCUGUG